CACACCAUAUAAAGAUCUCAUUAUAGACCCUAGAAAGGGGGCUAGCAGUCAUCACUACCUGAUUUUUCAACACAUUAGCCGCCACCUCCGUUACAGCUCCACUCCAAACACUAUUAAUGACCACCAAGCUUUCACCUUUAAUACAAAGCUCUCAUCUUUAACCAACAAAACCAUUUUGUGACCAUCUACUUCUAUCAGAAAAACCAGUAAAAGACUAAAAAAGAAAAUAAUUGAGGUUGAAGGAAAAGCCGAUGAAUUUUCUGUUCGUGGUCUCCGAUCUUAGUCUCGAUUUUGAUUCAAGUUUUGGCCUUUGCGGCUCUGUACUAGUAUGAGAUUUCCUAUACUAAAUUGAAGUUACGAUUUUGCUUCGCUUCAUUAAGGUUCAGGUAGUCACCCGGACGAGCCAGACAGUAGGAUCUCCUCCCAGCUGCAGUUUGUGCGCUCCACUCGAUCCGGAGUUGCAGCCUUUUGGUAUACUAUUUCUGGUGCAAGUAGACGAGAUGAAGGUCUUCCGCAGUAGGCUGCUUUCAGGUACCAGUUUGAUUGGUGCAGAUACUCGUUUUGGUGAUCCGCCAGCUUAGGACUCCCCUUCCUGCUAUCUUGGAGAGCUCCGUUGUUCCGGAGUCUAGAUUUUGGUACAGACUUCCUUUUGAUGUAUAUAUGUAUAUGUUGUCUAAGGGUAUGACGGGGCCCUGUCCCGUCAUAUUUCACUGUUGAAACUCUUAGAGGUCUGUAGACAUGUAUGUGGGUUGUGUCCAAAUAGGGUCAGUUGUGCUUAUAUGGUCAUUAUGGAUGUUCUAGCGCUGUAGCAGCCUUGCCGGCUUAUAUAUUUUAUCGUUUUGUUGUGGCAGCCUU